AUUUUUACCGGAGAACCACAAAUACGACCAGUCUAUUGCUGACAGAUCUCCAGUACUUUACAAGAUACAAGGUAAAACUACGGUCGUGUCAAGGCAGUGAGUCAGAACCAAGAUUUUGCAGUGAGUGGAAAGAGUACGAAGCCAUGACAUCACCGGACCUUCAAAUGAAUAAUGUAACCGCAGUGUUUGCAGAUUUCCAUUGUGA